rnacentral:lncRNA from 1 species
AUUUGGAAAAAAUGAAUAAAUAAUAUAAUCUGAUUUUGAUUCUUCUUUAUUUAAGGACAAAUAAUAUUGAUCUUUCUAAUUACUCUUACUUGUAAUAUUUGGAAAUGAUAUAUUUUACAUUUUUGCUGAUUUGAAUCUCCUUUUGAAUAAGGAAAAUAGUAUACUUACUUGAUUCCUAAAAAAUAUUUAUUUACCUUAUUUUUUUUAUAUUUUUUUUCUCCUUUUGCUAUAUAAAUAGGACUCCCUCGUACUCAAUUCAUUCACAGACACUCAUCUUUCAUAACAAGUUCUCUCAUCAACUCAUACACUCAUUCACUCUCAAUCACAAAUUCUCUCAUCACUCUCUCUUCUCUCUUGCUACUCUAACAAUACAUUGAGAAUCCGGUUUCAAACUUGAAGUUCAAGUUGGAGAUUAAUUGAAGAAAGAUUUAUUUGUUUAUUUGAAUGUAUAUAUAAAUUUUUCCUAUUUUAUUUAUUCGAAUGUUGUAACAAUUGUAACUCUAAAGAUCAUAUAUAUAAAUUUAUUUGGGGGGUCGUCUAGGGGAGGGGGAUUUAUAUGCUUACUUGUUCAUUAUAAAAUUUUAGAAAUCAUGCCUAUAGAUUUGUCUUUAACCACCUAGAAUUAUUGUUUGUAGGUGUUAUAAUCCAAUCAAUUGUUUGAUGCUUUGUUAAUAAGUCUACAAAAUAAUAAACUAGAUUCCAUUAAUUUUUAAUGUUAAAAUCAAAUUAUAAUAAUUUAGUAGGCUGAUUGGGUGUUUUAACAAUGUUAUAACGUUAGCAUUGUCUUGUCAUGUAGAAACCAUGCCUAAAGAUUAAUUUGUUCAUAUCAUUUAGAUUUACAAAAAUCAUGCAUAUAUGUCUUAUUUUUGAACACCUAGAAAUUCAUGUCUAUAGGCUUGUAAAGAACUUUUAACAUUUCUAUAAAAAUAAAAUUUGUUUGUGCAUAUUUGUGCCCUCUACCCAAAAAUUAGUUAAUAUUAUCCUAUUUGUCUUCCGCAUUCAUGAUGCAAUAUGUUUUUUUUAAUAAUACUAAAUUAGAAUCAUUUCAUGCAUUUAGCAAAUUACUUGGCUUUUAAAAAUAUUUCAUAUCAAAACCUUGCAACAUAAUUUUUUAAAAAAAGUCAUUAUUCAAUCUUCCUUUAAAACUUUGGAUUGAUUAUGACAUUGUUUUAUUUUAAAAAUAAAUUAUAAGCACUAUCUCCUAACCUAUCGUUAGUGGGAAAGUCAAAGGAACUACGAGGUCUAGUUCCAUUUUUUUAAACCCGACGCGUCCCCGGAAGUACCACCUACCCAUGAAUUUCAAAAGGAAUUAUGUGUAUUUAUGUGUAAAUAUUUAUGUGCCUACAUGUAAAUUAAAUCUUUGAAAUCAUUUUCAAAAAACGUAAACUAUUUUUUAGACCGACCUCAAAUCAAAAUUGUUUCUAUAGUGGAGGAGCA